CCUACGGGAGGCAGCAGUCGAGAAUCAUUCACAAUGUGGGAAACCCUGAUGGUGCGACGCCGCGUGGGGGAAUGAAGGUCUUCGGAUUGUAAACCCCUGUUAUGUGGGAGCAAAUUAAAAAGCUAGUACCACACGAGGAAGAGACGGCUAACUCUGUGCCAGCAGCCGCGGUAAUACAGAGGUCUCAAGCGUUGUACGUACUCACUGGGCGUAAAGUGUGCGUAGGCUGUUUCGGAAGUCGUGUGUGAAAGGCGCGGGCUCAACCCGCGGACGGCACAUGAUACUUCGAGACUAGAGUAAUGGAGGGGGAACCGGAAUUCACGGUGUAGCGGUGAAAUGCGGAGAUAUC
rnacentral:rRNA from 1 species